AUGAGUUUGAGCACUUGAUGUUUUAUACUUGAAAGACAAAUGAACUUGUUUUGGUUAUACCUCUCCCUGUUAAUUAUGGGUGAUUUCCUUCUUUCAAAUUAUAUAUGUUCUGUUUUGAGCUAUCUCUCUGCCUGGUAAUAAAAGUAUGUGCAUUGGUUGAUAUUUAGUAUUCGUAUGUCUAGUUCAUGAUGAUGGUCACUUGCGGCAGAGGCACCGAUAUUUUGGUGUCUAGAUAUUCGUCGCCGAUAACUAAGCACGCAAUGCUUGUAUAUACCGAGUUUUUACUGCCUAGUAGUGAGCACACCUAGCCCCAGUCACCUACUUCAAUCAAAGAAACUAAGAAUGUUCAUAGUAAUUUGAAAAGUAUCUCAUGCUUGAUGCUUAUACACUUGCAUACACAUCCCUCCUCCUAUUCCUCCUCUCGUCUCCCACAAUCUGAUUUGUGUGUGCAUUUAUUUUUGCAGGUUCGUGAAGAGGCCAAUCUGGUGUUGUGAAAGAAGGGGGCUGUCCAUGGAGAAGAUCCCGCGGCGAGCUCCUCAGGGAAGGCAAGUUGUCGCACCUGGAGAACUUGCCCAUCAAAGGGAGCAAUGAAGACAUUGUUAGGACAGUACCAAAUGUGCUCCUACGUGUUGAACAAUGUUAUGUAGUAGUGAGAUAAGGCAAAUUAUGUAGACAUUGUUAGGACAGUACCAGAUGUGCUCCUACGUGUUGAACAA